rnacentral:rRNA from 2 species
UCAGGACGAACGCUGGCGGCGUGCCUAAUACAUGCAAGUCGAACGAACUCUGGUAUUGAUUGGUGCUUGCAUCAUGAUUUACAUUUGAGUGAGUGGCGAACUGGUGAGUAACACGUGGGAAACCUGCCCAGAAGCGGGGGAUAACACCUGGAAACAGAUGCUAAUACCGCAUAACAACUUGGACCGCAUGGUCCGAGUUUGAAAGAUGGCUUCGGCUAUCACUUUUGGAUGGUCCCGCGGCGUAUUAGCUAGAUGGUGAGGUAACGGCUCACCAUGGCAAUGAUACGUAGCCGACCUGAGAGGGUAAUCGGCCACAUUGGGACUGAGACACGGCCCAAACUCCUACGGGAGGCAGCAGUAGGGAAUCUUCCACAAUGGACGAAAGUCUGAUGGAGCAACGCCGCGUGAGUGAAGAAGGGUUUCGGCUCGUAAAACUCUGUUGUUAAAGAAGAACAUAUCUGAGAGUAACUGUUCAGGUAUUGACGGUAUUUAACCAGAAAGCCACGGCUAACUACGUGCCAGCAGCCGCGGUAAUACGUAGGUGGCAAGCGUUGUCCGGAUUUAUUGGGCGUAAAGCGAGCGCAGGCGGUUUUUUAAGUCUGAUGUGAAAGCCUUCGGCUCAACCGAAGAAGUGCAUCGGAAACUGGGAAACUUGAGUGCAGAAGAGGACAGUGGAACUCCAUGUGUAGCGGUGAAAUGCGUAGAUAUAUGGAAGAACACCAGUGGCGAAGGCGGCUGUCUGGUCUGUAACUGACGCUGAGGCUCGAAAGUAUGGGUAGCAAACAGGAUUAGAUACCCUGGUAGUCCAUACCGUAAACGAUGAAUGCUAAGUGUUGGAGGGUUUCCGCCCUUCAGUGCUGCAGCUAACGCAUUAAGCAUUCCGCCUGGGGAGUACGGCCGCAAGGCUGAAACUCAAAGGAAUUGACGGGGGCCCGCACAAGCGGUGGAGCAUGUGGUUUAAUUCGAAGCUACGCGAAGAACCUUACCAGGUCUUGACAUACUAUGCAAAUCUAAGAGAUUAGACGUUCCCUUCGGGGACAUGGAUACAGGUGGUGCAUGGUUGUCGUCAGCUCGUGUCGUGAGAUGUUGGGUUAAGUCCCGCAACGAGCGCAACCCUUAUUAUCAGUUGCCAGCAUUAAGUUGGGCACUCUGGUGAGACUGCCGGUGACAAACCGGAGGAAGGUGGGGAUGACGUCAAAUCAUCAUGCCCCUUAUGACCUGGGCUACACACGUGCUACAAUGGAUGGUACAACGAGUUGCGAACUCGCGAGAGUAAGCUAAUCUCUUAAAGCCAUUCUCAGUUCGGAUUGUAGGCUGCAACUCGCCUACAUGAAGUCGGAAUCGCUAGUAAUCGCGGAUCAGCAUGCCGCGGUGAAUACGUUCCCGGGCCUUGUACACACCGCCCGUCACACCAUGAGAGUUUGUAACACCCAAAGUCGGUGGGGUAACCUUUUAGGAACCAGCCGCCUAAGGUGGGACAGAUGAUUAGGGUGAAGUCGUAACAAGGUAGCCGUAGGAGAACCUGCGGCUGGAU